rnacentral:lncRNA from 1 species
UUCUUGUUGCACCACCAAUGGCCACUUUGCGCUUUGGUUGUUGCACGUCUCUGCAAAAUUUUCAGUGUCUGCAUUUGUGACGUGAGACCGUCAUGGCUUUAUGACGUCAUACACUCGAACUUGGCACCCAAUCUCCCCAGGGUUGGACGGAUGGUUCGAAUCCUUCAGUGGAACUUUCGAGCAGCUCACGGUCCGACGGCCCGCAUGAAGCUGUUCCUCAAAAGAACGUGGAAUUUUUCAGCUCUUUAUGGAAUGAAAGUUUCAAUCUCCUUCUGACCUCCUUUCUGAAGACCCUGAAAGAUGUGAUUUCAUUUUCAAAAGAACAGAUAACCUCCUCCUUACCAUACCUAUGGAUUUCCAGAAAAGGCGGCAUUGUCAAGAUUUUGUUCGUGAGCCACAUCAUCGUGUUUGUUUUGAAGUAUAUCUUGAAAAGUAUUGAGCCAGUACUUGCAUUCAAGAAAGUUCGUAAGGACAGGAUCCGAUGCCCUCAGAACCGCAAUCGCCCGACCUUGAUGAAUCCGUGACAGCGUGUUGAGCCGUCACAUUGAUCCUGCCAACACAAACCGUUACAUACAAACUACUGGCCAUUGUUUCUGUCUUGUGAUUGUAACAUAUAAACGACGUUGUUUCUGUAUCGUCCAUUGCAUGGAUGUAAAUCCUGAAAAUGGUUAAUAAAAUAUUUCUGGUCAUUCUUUGUGGAGCAUUUCCAUAGGUUGUGAAAGUGUGUCUGUGGUACCAAUUGUGAGACUUCAGAUAUUAUUAAAAUUGUGUUCUUGGGAG